AAAAAGUCACAUGAUUUCAGGGAAACCACUGGGUACACGGCAGCGCAGAGCUGGAAGGAAAGUCCCAAGUCUGCUUCUGGGUCAGACCAGCCAGAGCAGCAGGAGAGCGGCUGGUUCUUCCUGAAGGUGUGAGCUCUGAUUCCCUGAGAAGAUGGCGGAAACAUUCUUAAUGGCUUUGGAAACCGGUUCUAUAACUCUGAAUGUCCUGGGAAAGGGGGCUGCUGCCAUUGUGCUAGCCGUGGGCUUUGUACUCAUAUGCGCACUCUGCAUACUAUGUUGAAAUAAGGCCCUGUGAAAACAAGACCUAGAGAAUGCAUUGGCAGGAAGCCUUUCCAAGCCCCUGGCCAGAAGGAGAAGGCUCCACCUUCCCAGGGAAUGUGUGAAGCAGCAUGCUAUACACAGUUUACAUUUUCAUAAUGAACAACGUCAACUUCGGAGCAAAAUAAAAAUGAAUUAAAUACACAUUUAUUGAGUG